GCGUGCCUUAACAUUUAACAAGUCGAACGAACCUUCCGGUUAGUGGACGGACGGGUGAGUAACGUCAAUCUAGCCCUCACGAGGGGGACAACAGUUGGAAACGACUGCUAAUACCCCAUAUGCCGCGAGGUGAAAUGAAUUUCGCCUGAAGGAUGAGACUCGACGUCUGAUUAGCUAGUUGGUGUACGGUAAUGGCUCACCAAGGCAUCGAUCAGUAGCUGGUCUGAGAGGAUGAUCAGCCACACUGGGACUGAGACACGGCCCAGACUCCUACGGGAGGCAGCAGUGGGGAAUUUUCCGCAAUGGGCGAAAGCCUGACGGAGCAACGCCGCGUGAGGGAUGAAGGCCUCUGGGCUGUACAACCUCUUUUAUCAAGGAAGAACGAUCUGACGGUACUUGAUGAAUAAGCCACAGGCUAAUUCCUGUAGCCAGCAAGCCGCGGUAAUACAGGGAGUGGCAAGCAGUUAUCCGGAAUUAUUGGGCCGUAAAGGCCGUCCAGAAAGUGCUGAGCACCAUUCAAAGUCUAGCCUCGUUCAAAACGGUCGGAAGCUU
rnacentral:rRNA from 1 species